GGGGCCGUAGCUCAAUUGGGAGAGCGCUGCCUUUGCAAGGCAGAGGUUGCCGGUUCGAUCCCGGUCGGCUCCA
rnacentral:tRNA from 1 species